GAAGUUUGUUUAUCAUGGCGAUGAAGUGUAAAAAUCAUUUGUGAAUUAUUUUUAAGCAUCUUCUGGGUUUUAUUUAAUCAAAAACUGGGGCAAACAAAAGAACAUUGAUCUCAAAUGUUUUAGAGGAGAUUAUUUUUGAGGGAGAGACCACAUAAUAACUCAAUUUGUACAGAGCGACCCCAUCCUUGCCAUGAUGAAUUCACACAUCUUUGUUGAUCUCCAGACUUUUCAUCUUCUGACAUUAUCAGCCUUCCAGCUUACCAGGACUCGAAGCUUACCGGGCUGCAAAGAAAAAUGAGCCUUUUCCUCGAUCAUGCGUUAAACUGAUAGUGAACCCCGGAAUCCGAAGGGAGACAAAGCCUUUUCCCGCUUUUCCUUUUAAGCUGUGCAAGAGUUAGCAUCGAUAGGGCCCGUUUCCCGCCUUGAAUGUGGACGGGUUAUAACACCAGACAAACUGGGCUCUCUAAUAAUACAGAGCACCUGGCCCUUUCAGAUCACCAUUCAUGAGUCAUUAGGAAGGAAAAUUCCCUGAAUCAGUUUGGGGUUGGAAGGACCUGCAUCUGCUGCUUGGAGAAUGUGAUGAUGGUGGAGCCCUGGACAAAAGCUACAGAGGAAUAGCAGAAAUUGCACUGGCACCUGACUUUUUCCAGCUGACAUCUCUGGCGCUCAGACAAGGAUUAACAUCCAAUUUGUUCCUCUCUUCCUGGGCUCAAGUCUAUCCCAACAGCUCGGCACUUCAAAGAGGCAGAUAAAAAGGGGGCGAUGGAUGGUCAUUCUUCAGGGGGAAUUGGCUUAGUGAAGCUCUGUUUAAAAUGGCAGGAAUACAAAAAGGAAAACUGUUUUGAUGUGCUGCAGAGUGUGAGGGUCCGGCCAGCUGUACAGUAUGACGGGCCAUCUUUUGCCCUCCUGUGCCUGAGCUGCACAAUGCAACCACGAUGCCAUUAAAUACGGUAUGAACCCUUCUGCAGCGCAGA